GUUUGUGGCUGGCUGGCUGAGGCUGUCAGUCCUGGGCCGUUUCCCCGAGGCAGGCGCUCUGCUGGGGGCGGGAGGAAGAGGGGCCGGACUGGGGCCUGACUAGCAGUCGCUGCCGCCACGGUCUUCGGGGCUGCUAUGACCAGUGGACGACGCGCCCUCCGCAGCUCCGCGCAGCGCUAGUCGCGGCCGUGCGCCCGCCGUAGCCGUCUGCGUCCCCAGCUCAGCCGCUCCCGCGGCUCCCUCGGCUCUUCCAGUGCCCCCUGCGAGGCGAGGCAGAGGCAGGAUGAAGAUGACGGUGGAUUUCGAGGAGUGUCUGAAAGACUCGCCCCGUUUCAGAGCUGCUUUGGAAGAAGUGGAAGGAGAUGUGGCAGAAUUGGAACUGAAACUUGAUAAGCUUGUGAAACUGUGUAUUGCAAUGAUUGAUACUGGAAAAGCCUUUUGUGUUGCAAAUAAACAGUUCAUGAAUGGGAUUCGAGACCUGGCACAGUAUUCUAGCAAUGAUGCUGUAGUUGAGACAAGUUUGACCAAAUUUUCUGACAGUCUUCAAGAAAUGAUAAACUUUCACACAAUCCUAUUUGACCAAACCCAGAGAUCAAUUAAGGCACAACUUCAGAACUUUGUUAAAGAAGAUCUCAGAAAAUUCAAAGAUGCCAAGAAGCAGUUUGAAAAAGUCAGUGAAGAAAAAGAAAAUGCAUUAGUAAAAAAUGCUCAAGUGCAAAGAAACAAACAGCAUGAAGUUGAAGAAGCCACAAACAUCCUGACAGCAACAAGAAAAUGUUUUCGACACAUAGCCCUCGAUUAUGUACUUCAGAUUAAUGUCCUUCAAUCAAAAAGGCGAUCAGAAAUCCUGAAAUCAAUGUUAUCCUUUAUGUAUGCCCAUUUGGCUUUCUUCCAUCAAGGAUAUGAUCUAUUUAGUGAACUUGGGCCCUAUAUGAAGGAUCUUGGUGCACAGUUGGAUCGACUGGUUGUAGAUGCAGCAAAGGAGAAAAGAGAAAUGGAGCAAAAACAUUCCACCAUUCAACAAAAGGCUGCAUUACAGGAUUUCUCCAAUGAUGAUUCUAAGCUAGAAUAUAACGUAGAUGCUGCAAAUGGCAUUGUUAUGGAAGGUUAUCUGUUCAAACGUGCCAGCAAUGCCUUCAAAACUUGGAACAGGAAAAAGCCCGAUCAUAUCAGACGCUGGUUUUCAAUACAGAAUAAUCAGUUGGUUUACCAGAAAAAGUUUAAGGAUAAUCCCACUGUGGUGGUGGAGGAUCUCAGGCUCUGCACAGUGAAACACUGUGAGGACAUAGAACGACGAUUCUGCUUUGAGGUGGUCUCUCCAACAAAAAGUUGUAUGCUUCAGGCAGAUUCUGAAAAGCUGCGCCAGGCAUGGAUUAAGGCUGUUCAGACCAGUAUUGCUACUGCUUACAGAGAGAAGGGUGAUGAAUCAGAGAAGCUGGAUAAGAAAUCAUCUCCAUCCACAGGGAGCCUGGAUUCUGGAAAUGAGUCAAAAGAUAAGCUAUUAAAAGGAGAAAGUGCAUUGCAGCGAGUCCAGUGUAUACCUGGGAAUGCCAGCUGUUGUGACUGUGGUCUGGCAGACCCACGGUGGGCCAGCAUCAACCUGGGCAUCACCCUGUGUAUUGAGUGUUCUGGGAUUCAUCGGAGUCUUGGAGUUCAUUUCUCAAAAGUGCGAUCUUUAACUUUGGAUACCUGGGAGCCUGAACUUUUAAAGCUUAUGUGUGAGUUGGGGAAUGAUGUUAUAAAUAGAGUUUAUGAAGCGAAUUUGGAAAAAAUGGGAAUAAAGAAACCGCAUCCAGGACAAAGACAGGAGAAAGAGGCGUAUAUCAGAGCAAAAUAUGUGGAGAGGAAAUUUGUGGAUAAAUACUCUAUGUCAUCAUCACCUCCUGAGCAGGAAAAAAAGAUUGUCUCCAAAAGUUGUGAAGAAAAGAGGCUGAGCAUGUCUAAACUUGGGCCAAGUGAACAAAUUAGAGCAUCUCCUCAGAGUUCAGUCAAAAGUAAUGACAGUGGAAUCCAGCAGAGCUCUGAUGAUGGAAGAGAAUCUUUACCCUCCACAGUGUCAGCCAAUAGUUUAUAUGAAACUGAGGCAGAAAGGCAAGAUUCUUCUGUGUUUCUUGACUCUAAACAUUUUAAUCCAGGACUCCAGCUUUAUAGGGCUUCAUAUGAAAAAAAUCUUCCUAAAAUGGCUGAGGCUUUGGCUCACGGCGCAGAUGUGAACUGGUCUAAUUCCGAGGAAAACAAAGCAACACCACUUAUUCAGGCUGUAUUAGGGGGCUCUUUGGUUACCUGCGAGUUUCUCCUACAGAAUGGUGCUAAUGUGAACCAAAGAGAUGUGCAGGGGCGAGGACCAUUGCACCAUGCCACCGUCUUGGGGCACACGGGGCAGGUAUGUUUAUUUCUAAAAAGAGGUGCCAAUCAACAUGCGACUGAUGAAGAAGGGAAGGACCCUUUGAGUAUAGCUGUGGAAGCAGCUAAUGCUGAUAUAGUGACCUUGUUACGUUUAGCAAGAAUGAAUGAAGAGAUGCGAGAAUCAGAAGGACUUUAUGGACAGCCAGGUCAAUAUUCUACUAAUAACCAUACUGAAAUGCAAUAUAAGAAAUGCAUCCAGGAAUUUAUCAGUUUACAAUUGGAAGAGUCAUAGUUCUUUAGCAAACUAAAAAUACUGUAUAGAGUUUUUAUAAAUUACUUGCAAAUUGUGAGUUGUUAGCUAUGUACUGUACUUACUGAAUUCUUGGGAGUGGCUCACUCUUGAGCCUUUAAAACUCCAUAACUACUCCUUUUACAGUACGCAUUUACUUGCUGUAUUUAACUCUGGCUACUGACUUCUUUAUCUGCUGUACAGAUGUCUUCCAUAUACAUUCCAGUGAGGUGAAUGGAAUGAUAAUGUAUCUUUAUACACUUAAAGCAGCACAACAGUCAUUUUCUUUUUGGCUGUCAAGUGAAUAUAACAGAAUUGUUUUCUUUUGGUUAUUCAGGGAAUUUCUAUAAAUUGUGUUCAGGGAAAAAAAGACAAAUCACUAUGUGUUAACAUAUAAAAAGUCAGUAUGGAAAAUACCUAGAAAACAUUUAUUGAAUUAAGAAUUCUGUAUUUGACCUAAAAAUGAGUUAAAGGUUUUAAAAUAAAGUUUACCAGUAGGUUAAAAAGUCCGUAAUGGGAAUAGAGUUAGUUUAAAAGGUAGUGGGAAAAGGUCCAAUUUUAUCUUUGCCCUAAGUAAUUGUACAAUAUUUGUUGGAUAAAUGGAAGUAUUUCAAGCAGCAUUUUGUGAACUUGAUGGCAAAGUAGAUGUAUUCUUAUUAAGAGAAAUCUCAACUCAGGAUCAGCUCAAGUCUCAUUUUGCGUAAUUUUUAUCUUUGAGUCGAGAUGUAAGAAAAUUAAGAAAUGCUGCUGAUCAGAUUUCAUUCUUUGAUGAACACAUCCUGAUUAGACAUUCUUCACAAAGAAGAAAGUAAUAAUUAGAUCUCCAGUUUCAUGAAUUUGAGUAUAUGAAUUACUAAUUUAUCUGUUUUAAAUUCAUAUACAUGCUGGUUAAAAAUUUUAGGAAUCCAUGACUAAAAUAAUUGAGACUGUUCAGUUCUCAGUGAGUAUGUUUAAUUAUUUUCAAUCAGUAUUAAUAUUUUAAAAGUGGCUUGUAAUAUCAUCUAUCUUUCCUGUUCAAUUGUGUUUUGAAAUUUCUGUACUUUGUGCUAGCUUUAGCCAGCAUUUUUACUUUUAUUUUUACUUUACUUUUAUUUUAACCCGAUUUAUAUAUAUAUAUAAUAAGACAUAUGGGACCAUUCCGUUCUCAGAGGAGUGUAUUUAUUACUUUUGGGGUUUCUAAUUUAAAUAGGGAACAAGUAAGAACUUUGAGAAUAGAGGCACUUCAGCUAGAUACUUCUAAUCUAGGGUGUCCCACUUUAAUCCUAUGGAUCAAACAAUAUGACUGAUUCAUGAUGUACCAAGAGGUAAGAGUGCUGAUAAAGGGUGAAGUCUCAGCAUUAAUUCUGAAUUUCACCCAUUUGUUUUAAACUUGAAUGUUAGACUUUAAAAAUGUUAUAAUUUUGUAACAGAUAUACUUAAGUAUAAGGCCAUUUUUGAGGCCUUUGUGUUUAAGCACUUUAAAAUAAAAAUUAUUCAAAGAAUAUGACCCAAUAGGCUAAGAUAAGAGUGAAUUUCAGGAUUUUAGCUUAAACAGUUUUUUUUCCUUGACAUUUUCAAUGUAAAUGUCUAGUCAGCUGCUCUUUCCUUAGGGUGUUUACUGAUGAAGCUGCACCCAGCUGAUUAGUCAGAAGGUGAGGAGGUGACUUUUCUCUGGAGGAGCUGGGACUUUGAAAGGACAGGUCCUCUUAUGUUCUUGCAGCUUCUAUUUCCAUCUAAACUGUUGGGUCUUCUGCCCCUAUCUGGAAUCAUUCAAAUGGUUCUUUCAGUGUCAUUGUAUGUAUAAGUUUAUGAGUAUAUACCUUCUGCUCUGGAGAAGGAAACGGCAACCCACUCCAGCAUUCUUGCCUGUAGAAGUCCAUGGACAGUGGAGCCUGGUGGGCUACGGUCCAUGGGAUUGCAAAGAGUCGGACACCACUGAGCACACAGCACAGCACCUUCUGCUCAACAGUAGAAAAAUAAGAGUUUUCUAAUUUGUUUGAAUGAAAAUUUUAAGGGAAAAAAAGGCUUAUUAAAAAACACAAGCUUUCCUGCUAUAGUCAAAUCUUAGUUUAGAAAAGAUUUUUUAAAAAAGAGCAGAAGUUUGGAAAUGGUAUACCAGCAGAAUAAAAUGAGAUUUUCAUUUGGUUAUAACUAGAUUUUAAAUUCAUUUAGGUGGUCUUGUAUUUAAAGCAAAACAACUUUAUACUUAUACAGGUGACAUGGUGAGAUGGCUCAGCAGUCCCUCUCUGAGCCUUUUCCUUUGUGAGUCUUUGGAGAGCAGAUACUUUUGCUGAGGUGGCAGGUCUCUUUUCCUCUUUGCUUAUCACUGUAAAUUUUCCUCUCAUAGAUUUUGGUUGGUUGUUUUAGCUAGAUCCUUUGUUGUUGUUGUUGUUGUUGUUGUUGCCUAGCAAUAGAUGGAAAACCUCAGAAUUCUGGGUAAUUUUAAAAUGCAAGUAUCUUCAGUCUUUUCAUUAUGAAGAUCUCUUCCAUUUAAAAGACUCAGAUAUAAUCUUUGGGAAUCAUGGACCUGUUUCUAGGAAACUCCACUUUUGAACUUUCUGUCUACAACCCUAACAACCUGAGACUUUCUAUUUUUCGCCAUGUGACCCAAGAGCACACAUUUCCUGAGGGGAAGAUGUGUCCCUCCUUGUCAGUUCCUACGACUCUUAGGAGGACUAAGUGGGUGCGUGCAGUAUCACAUCCUGCUCUCAAUUGUUGGAAACUAGUUUGGUGGUUCCCGUGGUCUCUGGCUCUGUGACUCCUCUUGAUUGUUGGCAGAGUUUCUCAACCAGUUGAAGAUCACUGCUUUAGUGAACCACUACUGAUUAUGUGAGUAUGUUGCUGGUGAAGCCUGAUCAUUGAUCCAGUCAGUUACAAAAAGGAAGCUGUGAUCAGUCCAGAGGGGCAGGCUCAUCCGCUGAUCACCUGGGAGCAGGGUCUCCCAGGCUGCUGUAUCUUUGAGGGGAGUACAUUUUAAGAGCAAAAUUAGCAAAAUCUUGGAUCAUAGCUGCUGUUGCAGUGCUUAUUCUGAAUACCAAAAAUCAAACACUAUUUUAAACCAUCCGUGGAAAUAUAGCAGUCCACAUUUUAAAAACUCAGAACUGUCCAAGCACAUAGAAGAGUUAGCUUGCUGAAGAGAAUAGAAUGUGAUUAAGUAAUUUAAAGAAUUUAACUUAGUAUUUCAAAUAUUGGGUGGUUAGUUGUUUAUUGUUUAUAAUAAACUGUUAAAUGUACUUAUGAACUUUCCAGGGCAACAUAUUCUGGGUUAUUGUUUAUGUAUUCCAGUGUAGACAAGUUAUAUUUGCCAUGGGAAACAUUCUGAAUGAUCAAAAUUGUAUUUAAAGAAUCACAUUGAAGUUCAAUUUGUAGUUCGAUUUGUGUUAACUGUAUUAAAUAUCUUAGUCACUAUUGUUACGUCAUGUUUGCUUUUUGACAACACAUUUUGAGGCCUAAGAAAGGUAUUAUAUUGAUAGUCCCUUAAUUAACAUUUGGUUAGAAACUGAAUAUUAAUGAAAAGUUUUGUGUAUGUGUGUGAAGGUUAGACUUCCUUUUGUACUGUAUUAACUCUUUUAAAAUGUAUUCAGUAAGUGAAACCAAUGAUUAGUGUAGCACCAACCCUUUCCUUCAAGGAAACAUUUAAUUCAGUGAAUAAAAAAAUCUUAUAAUCUGUUGUGCAUGGUACAAUGGUUCUACUAAAAUGUACUUGUGUAGUAGGUACUAGAUAAUUUAAAAACAAAAACUGGAAAACCACAAAAAGAAAAAAAAAAUCCCACAGCUUGUUAUACAAAAUAUGCAUUGCUAAUGGUAGAAGCCAUAUAUUGCCAUUGUACUGUUGUAAUACUUAAGAUUGACUGCUCAUCUGGUGCUAUCUGUAAGCUGUUUGGCAUUAGCGCCUGCUAGGUCCUUCUUCCUAUUUCUUCUUGAAUGUAUAAUGUGUGCCUUUUAAGUUCCUUCUGGUGUUGAAUGGUAAAAUCCGUGUGGUAUUUUUGUAUUAUAAUCUGCACUUUAACUUUCUUGGAAAGUAAGAUUCCAGACUCUCCAGUUUAAAUAGUAUUUUUAAAAUAUUUAUAAUGUUUACAAUAAAUAUUUUAAAUAUUUGAAUUCAGCAUCUAAGAAUAAGAAAAACUUUUAAAUAUUUUGUAUGGUUUGUUAAUUGAUGUUUAAUGUUCGUCUCUUAGUUUAUUUUAUAUAUUUUAGAAUGCCUAAAAAUGGGAAUAGAUUGUAGUUUGUCUUCUAAUGUGGAGGUAAACUUUUAUGAAAUGAAACAUGGGUGUAAUUGGAUUGUCUUUCCAGUUGUUCCAGCAUAUCACCCUUUAUUAUUUUAGUUACAAUAAUAUAUGAGUUAGAUGUUACUCUUAGACAACCUAUUAGGCUUCUCUUCUUACUGUAUUUUUUUCUUUUUAAAGUGAUUGAUUCAGGUCAUGAGAAAAUUUCCAGGGCUAAAUGAAAAACUAUAUAGAGAUUUUAAUAACUUGCUUUUUACAUUGACUAAAUAUUAAAAGCAUUAAAAAUUUUUUUAUUGAAAAUCUUGAGUUAUGCUGUUAGACCUUUUUACUAGAUCUUAUCACUUUCCCCUGAUUUUUUUCUAAUUCUCUAGCUUUUGGUAUGACAUCUAUUGCCUCAAAAAAUCUCACUUUUUAAAAGCUGACAAAACUUACUGCACUAUUAACAACAGCUGUAGCAAUGGGUGUAUAAUAAGAUGGAUGCAAGGUGUCUUUUGGGGAAUAAUUAUAAGACCAUGCUUUAACAAUAAAUCAGUAUUUGACAGUCUAAAUCUUGAAAACAGAAUUACGACAAGCCUCUGUAUAAAAGUAAUAUGUUUAAUGAAGCAUUCAUGAUGAAUGAUUUAACUUGAAAAUAAGAUUUCAUUUUAUAUAAAUCUUUUGUCCAAAGACUUAGCCUAUAUGUGUGUAUAUAUUUAGUUUUUCAUCACAAGAAAAAUAGUCUUCAAUCUGCUAUAAUAUCAGUAUCUAUAAUCUUCUCUACAAGCGAAUUGUACGUAUAUACACAUGUAUUCCCUGGAGUAGGAAAUGGCAGCCCACUCCAGUAUUCUUGCCUGGAAAAUCCCAUAGACAGAGGAGCCAGGGGGGCUACAGUCCAUGGGGUCACAAAGAGUCGGGCAUGACUGAGCAUAUACAACCAACCAACAUAUGUAUUAUUCUAAUUUAACAGAUGUCUUUGAUAUUUAGUCCCCUUUUGUCAUAGCAUCCUUGCUCAAAUGACCUACAGUAAAUGAACUAUUGACUAAAUGUGAAAGUAUGAUUUUAAAGUCAUUUUCUAGGCUUUAUUAUUUUUAAGCUUAGUAAAAAGUAGGUUAAAUGCAUUAGUUUUAGUUAAGCAUUAAAGUUUGAAUAAAGACUUUUUCACAUAUUAUUUAAAUUAAGAUUUAGUUAAAAUAUAAUAUUAAAAUUUCCCACCUGGUUAUCAGUUUUGUCCUGUUACUAACUUGCAUCCAUCAGAAACAUUAAUAUUUGUUUUUGAUCUUUUCUUUUGGCCUUGAUCAAAGGAAAUAUUUAUUUAAAGAAUGCCUUGUUAUUAUACCUCAUUUAGGAUGACUUUUAUUUCUUGUGUGUUAAUAAAUGUAUUUCUUUACUUGCUUUAAAACACUUGCAUCUUUGCUCUUUUCUAACUCUGAACUUUCCUCUGUGGCUGCAUCUGAGGUGCUUUUUUCAGGUGAUGAAACUUACCAGGACAUUUUUCGUGAUUUCUCCCAGAUGGCAUCCAAUAAUCCAGAGAAACUAAAUCGUUUCCAGCAAGAUUCAC